UAAGAAUUUUAGAGGAUGUCAAGGGAUGC
rnacentral:piRNA from 1 species